GUGCUUGCUUCGGCAGCACAUAUGCUAAAAUUGGAACGACAUUAGCAUGGCCCUUGCGCAAGGAUGACACGCAAAUUCGUGAAGCGUUCCAUGUUUUU
rnacentral:snRNA from 1 species